rnacentral:rRNA from 1 species
UACGUAGGGUGCAAGCGUUGUCCGGAAUUAUUGGGCGUAAAGAGCUCGUAGGCGGUGUGUCACGUCGGCCGUGAAAACCUGCAGCUUAACUGUGGGCGUGCGGUCGAUACGGGCAAGCUAGAAUUCGGUAGGGGAGACUGGAAUUCCUGGUGUAGCGGUGAAAUGCGCAGAUAUCAGGAGGAACACCGGUGGCGAAGGCGGGUCUCUGGGCCGAUAUGACGCUGAGGAGCGAAAUGCGUGGGAGCGAACAGG